rnacentral:rRNA from 1 species
UACAGAGGCCUCAAGCGUUGUUCGGAUUCAUUGGGCGUAAAGGGUGCGUAGGCGGCGCGGUAAGUCGGGUGUGAAAUCUCGGGGCUUAACUCCGAAACUGCAUUCGAUACUGCCGUGCUUGAGGACUGGAGAGGAGACUGGAAUUUACGGUGUAGCGGUGAAAUGCGUAGAGAUCAGGAGGAACACCCAUGGCGAAGGCAGCUCUCUGGUCGACCUCUGACGCUGAGACGCGAAAGCGUGGGGAGCGAACGGG